rnacentral:lncRNA from 1 species
AAUACCUUAAGGAUGUCUAUUUUAACUCUUAGUAUUAAUGUCUAAAUCAGCAUUUGGGAAACCCCCCAGUCAUACCAUAUGGCAGUUCAGAUCUAUCCUGCAGUGACUCACGUCUUUUCUGGUGCAACCCAAUGUUUUCAGACUAUUAUGGAGUUUGCAAAGAAUAUCCAACUCAAACAGGAUCUUUACAAGAAAUAUACCAGAUUAAGUACGAACGGCAAGAACGAACAGAAGUCCACCUCAAGCCCAUUCGUUGAGAACAGCCGUCCGCUCUGAAGCGGGCACAGUCCACGCACGUGCCUGAAGCGAGAGCUGAGCCGUCCAAUCAAAUUGGGUGUAAUCUUGUGAUUAAACACUGCAGAUUUUUCAGAAUGCCAAAGACAUCUGCAUUUCCCCCAUGUUUAUUCUUUCGAUGUCACAUCUACACUGCUAGCCUGACUUCCUUCACAGUUUAAAAAUAUAAAAUUAAAGAAAAAGAAAUACAGCUCCGAGUGUGAACCACAGCCGCAUAACUAAGGGUGGGGCAAAGGCUUACCUGAGUAGCACUAGGUGAGAACCCAACAAACCAUGCGGGAGUCUCAGUGUUGGGUGUGUGCUAUGGUCUGGGGAGAAAUCCUUCAAAAGGGGUGAGCAAACAGAUACAAACGGUGUCCCCCGGGAGAGUUAAAGAAGGCCUGGGUUUCUCAAGGACCUCUGUCUCGGCUUGAUGCCCACAGUCUUAGAGAACAGGACAGGGCAUAGAGUGAGGGGCAGACAUUUUACACAGCUGCAAAGCUUCCAUAACUGACCAUAACUUCCCCUGUGCUGUUCACCUCAGGAAUCAGGACAUAAGGAAGACAGAGCAGCAAAUCUCAACCAUGACCCCA